CGCAUAUAUAAUCAAGAGAGCAGACUAUAAAUAGUAAAUGCGUAGCAACAAGAUGGUAGUAUGUGUUUGUAUCCUGAAAGGAAAAGUUUUACGAGAAUCGUGAAGAAUAGUCAAAUUUUCUGAUCACGAUGAAGGUAUUCCUUACUGUUCUCUUUGGAAUCGUACUAAUAAUGAGCAUCAUGAUACUAUCAGGAGAAUCAAAUACAUCCACAACUCCUAAAACGCAUAUUAACACCACAACUCCUAAAUACAAAACCACCCCUCAUAUCAUAAAUGUUCCUGAAAGGACUCCCUGUCCGCCGGGCCAGAGAAAAAAUUCUCAUGGAGUAUGUCGCAAGACGUUAUAAUGGCGAGUGAUACACGCAAAUUCGAGAAAACACACUGGCAAUUUUAAAAAUUCAUGUGAAGUACUAUAGAAAUAAGUUAAUAUAAGUUUUUGCUCUAAUAUGUCAAAUACUGUCUCAGAAAUUCAUCGAAUUAAUCACUAAAUUAAUCAUUCUUUUAA